AGGAUUCCCCUAGUAACUGCGAGUGAAGAGGGAAAAGCUCAAAUUUAAAAUCUGGCAGCUUCGCUGUCCGAGUUGUAAUUUAGAGAAGUGUUACCCUUGCUGGACCGUGUACAAGUUUCCUGGAACGGAACGUCAUAGAGGGUGAGAAUCCCGUCUUUGACACGGACUCCCAGUAUUUUGUGGUACGCUCUCGAAGAGUCGUGUUGUUUGGGAAUGCAGCACUAAAUGGGUGGUAAAUUCCAUCUAAAGCUAAAUAUUGGCGAGAGACCGAUAGCAAACAAGUACCGUGAGGGAAAGAUGAAAAGAACUUUGGAAAGAGAGUUAAACAGUACGUGAAAUUGUUGAAAGGGAAACGCUUGAAGUCUAGUCGCGUCGGUUGGAAAUCAGUCUUGCUUCUGCUUGAUGUACUUUCUGAUCGACGGGUCAGCAUCAGUUUUGACCGUUGGAUAAAGGUUGGGGGAAUGUGGCAUCCUCGGAUGUGUUAUAGCCUCUGAUUGUAUACAACGGUUGGGACUGAGGAACUCAGCACGCCGCAAGGCCGGGUACUUGUACCACGUUCGUGCUUAGGAUGCUGGCAUAAUAGCUUUAAUCGACCCGUCUUGAAACACGGACCAAGGAGUCUAACAUGCCUGCGAGUGUUUGGGUGGAAAACCCGAGCGCGCAAUGAAAGUGAAAGUUGAGAACUCAUCAGAGUGCAUCGACGCCCGGACCAGACGUUUU
rnacentral:rRNA from 1 species